AAGCAUAUUAAUAAGCGGAGGAAAAGAAACUAACUAGGAUUCCCUCAGUAAGGGCGACUGAAGCGGGAAGAGCUCACCGUGUGAAUCUGUGCGGGUGUUUAUUGUCUCAUCUUUGAUGAUUUGGUAGACCCAGCACCGAAUUGUGGUCUGUAGAAGCAUUGUCGGCCGCGGUCCCGGGCCAAGUCCCUUGGAAAAGGGCAGCAUAGAGGGUGAGACUCCCGUUCUUGCCUGGGACGUGUUGGCCAUGGCACAUGUAUUCGACGAGUCGAGUUGCUUGGGAUUGCAGCUCCAAGUGGGUGGUAAAUUCCAUCUAAAGCUAAAUACCGGUGGGAGACCGAUAGCGAACAAGUACCGUGAGGGAAAGAUGCAAAGAACUUUGAAAAGAGAGUUAAAGAGUACCUGAAAUUGCUGAAAGGGAAGCGAAGGAAACCAGUGUCGUGGCUGUGCAUAUUUCCCGUGCCGCUUGCGGUGUGGGCGCUGUGCACGGUCUUGGGCCAGCAUGGGUUUGUAUUUCAUGGCAAAUGGUGGUUUGGGAGGUAGGUUCCACUUGUGGUUCCGAUACCAAGUCAUUUUGUGGUGGAUGAGACCGAGGGAGUCGUCUA
rnacentral:rRNA from 1 species